AGUGAACGCUGGCGGUAGGCCUAACACAUGCAAGUCGAACGGCAGCACAGUAAGAGCUUGCUCUUACGGGUGGCGAGUGGCGGACGGGUGAGGAAUACAUCGGAAUCUACUUUUUCUUGGGGGAUAACGUAGGGAAACUUACGCUAAUACCUCAUACAACCUACGGGUGAAAGCAGGGGAUCUUCGGACCUUUCGCGAUUGAAUGAGCUGGUUUCGGAUUAGCUAGUUGGCGUGGUAAAGGCCCACCAAGGCGACGAUCCGUAGCUGGUCUGAGAGGAUGAUCAGCCACACUGGAACUGAGACACGGUCCAGACUCCUACGGGAGGCAGCAGUGGGGAAUAUUGGACAAUGGGCGAAAGCCUGAUCCAGCCAUACCGCGUGGGUGAAGAAGGCCUUCGGGUUGUAAAGCCCUUUUGUUGGGAAAGAAAAGCAGCAGGUUAAUACCCCGCUGUUCUGACGGUACCCAAAGAAUAAGCACCGGCUAACUUCGUG
rnacentral:rRNA from 1 species